GUUGGCGAAACUGGUGAAGUGAUCGACAUUUUUGUCCUCGUCGUCCAUAGCUUUGGGAUCGUACUCGAAGCUGCAACAAGAUUGAAGUACGAAGAUCCCGUGAAACGAAACAUCAACACGAACAAAAUUAUAAUAAUAUUUGACGGCACGAAAUUGGAUGACCCGGAAAGAGAACGGGGAGAAACUCAAGCUCGAGCUGAACAUAUGAGUCGAAUCUAAUCUGGACGUUUCAGCUCCUACAAAUCUUCAAGACUACGAAGAAAACCUCGCGGCACUUCGGGUCAGUGGGAAUUACCGAAACAUGAUUCACGCGCGUCGUAAGCUGCUCUAUAGCACACGGCGCGU